rnacentral:lncRNA from 1 species
AGGCUGUGGCGGAGCAAAGGCGGCAAUACCGAUUUCCGUCGAGUGCACGGUUGGGAUUAAGUAAACAGAAGACAAAGAAGCUUAUUGUAGCAUCGGUUAGGUCACAGAAGCGGUUAUCAAGGUCGUACAAGAAGAACGAAAGCGCAUACGGUGGUCCCACAUCGAGCAGACAAUGCCGCUUCCGGCCAGAUUAGGGUUCCGUCCGUUAUCCGGUCACCCGCUUUCAUCUUGGAUGGUGGAUGGACAGCUCUGGUAGGUGAUUGUGUUGGGCGGUUCCCCUUGCAAAUAGAUUGUAUCAUUCUUAUCCGUUUUCGAUUAUAUCAUGGAAUACACCUAAUGUCGCUGAUGGUUUUCGAUUAGGGUUUGU